rnacentral:rRNA from 1 species
CCAAUAGCGUAUAUUAAAGUUGUUGCAGUUAAAAAGCUCGUAGUUGAAUUUCGGAAUCAAUGGGUUGGUCAUGCCCUCGGUAUGUACUGAUUUCAUUGGUUCUCACCUUCUAAGGAACCAUGAUGUCAUUUAUUUGAUGUUGUGGGAAAUUAGGACUGUUACCUUGAAAAAAUUAGAGUGUUUAAAGCAGGCUAACGCUUGAAUACAUUAGCAUGGAAUAAUGAAAUAGGACAUCCGAUUCUAUUUUGUUGGUUUCUAGGAUCGAUGUAAUGAUUAAUAGGGAUAGUUGGGGGCAUUAGUAUUCAAUUGUCAGAGGUAAAAUUCUUGGAUUUAUUGAAGACUAACUACUGCGAAAGCAUUUGCCAAGGAUGUUUUCAUUAAUCAAGAACGAAAGUUAGGGGAUCGAAGACGAUCAGAUACCGUCGUAGUCUUAACCAUAAACUAUGCCGACUAGGGAUCGGAUGAUGCUUAUUUUUUAAUGACUCAUUCGGCACCUUACG